rnacentral:rRNA from 1 species
AUGGAGGUUGACUGCAAGGAGGUAGUCGAUCUGUGGGCUUCUCGCACUUUUUCACGCUUGACGGUAGCGCCAGUUCUAUUGGAGAUAGAAGGACUAGCUUUAUCUUUUCAGUCUUUUGUUAUUCAAUCUGUAUCAAGAAAAGCCAAUGCUCCAGCCCACCUUUGUGCCAAGUUUGCUUGCACAUUAGGGGUUACGAGCUGUUGGAUGGAUUCCCCUCCUAGUUUUCUCAUGACUAGCGUUAUGGCUGAUCAUGCAGGAGCUAGAGAUGAUUGA